rnacentral:rRNA from 1 species
GAAAAGAACCCCGGGAGGGGAGUGAAAUAGAACCUGAAACCCUGCACUUACAAGCUGUGGAAGCACAUUUCUUGUGUGACCGCGUACUUUUUGUAGAACGGGCCAACGAGUUACGUUAAGUAGCAAGGUUAAGCACUUAAGGUGCGGAGCCGUAGCGAAAGCGAGUUUUAACUGAGCGUUCAGUUACUUGACGUAGACCCGAAACCGGGCGACCUACCCAUGAGCAGGAUGAAGCGAAAGUAAAAUUUCGUGGAGGUCCGAACCCACGAGCGUUGAAAAGCUCGGGGAUGACUUGUGGGUAGCGGUGAAAUUCCAAUCGAGCCCGGAGAUAGCUGGUUCUCCCCGAAAUAGCUUUAGGGCUAGCCUCAAGGUGAGAGAUACGGAGGUAGAGCACUGAAUGUCCUAGGGGGUAUUGCACCUACCGAAGACUAUCAAACUCCGAAUGCCGUCAUCUUAUACUUGGGAGUCAGACUGUGGGUGAUAAGAUUCAUAGUCGAAAGGGCAACAGCCCAGAUCGUCAGCUAAGGUCCCUAAAUGUAAGUUAAGUGGUAAAGGAUGUGGGAUUGCACAGACAACCAGGAUGUUGGCUUAGAAGCAGCCACUCAUUCAAAGAGUGCGUAAUAGCUCACUGGUCGAGUGAUCCUGCGCCGAAGAUUUCCGGGGCUAAAACUUACUACCGAAGCUACGGCAUCAGUAAUGAUGGGUAGGGGAGCUUCCCAUAC